rnacentral:rRNA from 1 species
AUACGUAGGGUGCAAGCGUUAAUCGGAAUUACUGGGCGUAAAGCGUGCGCAGGCGGUUUUGUAAGACAGUGGUGGAAUCCCCGGGCUCAACCUGGGAACUGCCAUUGUGACUGCAAGGCUGGAGUGCGGCAGAGGGGGAUGGAAUUCCGCGUGUAGCAGUGAAAUGCGUAGAUAUGCGGAGGAACACCGAUGGCGAAGGCAAUCCCCUGGGCCUGCACUGGCGCUCAUGCACGAAAGCGUGGGGAGCAAACAGGAUUAGAUACCCUGGUAGUCCACGCCCUAAACGAUGUCAACUGGUUGUUGGGGAUUUAUUUUCUCAGUAACGAAGCUAACGCGUGAAGUUGACCGCCUGGGGAGUACGGCCGCAAGGUUAAAACUCAAAGGAAUUGACGGGG